GGAGUCUGGACCGUGUCUCAGUUCCAAUGUGACCGUUCAUCCUCUCAGACCGGUUACCGAUCGUCGGCUUGGUAAGCCGUUACCUUACCAACUACCUAAUCGGACGCAGGCUCCUCGCAAAGCGAUAAAUCUUUAAUGUAAUUCUCAUGCGAAAACUACAUAACAUUCGGUAUUAGCAGCCCUUUCGAACUGUUGUCCCCAUCUUUGCGGCAGAUUACCUACGCGUUACUCACCCGUUUGCCACUGGGACCGAAGUCCCCGUUCGACUUGCAUGUGUUAAGCACGCCGCCAGCGUUCGUCCUCGAGCCACGGAGUCAAACUACU
rnacentral:rRNA from 1 species